rnacentral:rRNA from 1 species
UUGUCGAAUCCUGCAAAGCAGACGACCGCGAACUCGUGUAAUUUCCGGGCGUCGGGGAACAGGGGAGACUAAAGCCUCCCCUAACUCCCCGGCGCCCCCCGCGCACCGCGCGGACAACAACUCAACCCCGGCGCGGAAAGCGCCAAGGAAAACUCAAAAGGAUUGCCCGCCUCCCCGUGCGCGGGGUGUGUUGUGGCGUCUGUCGUAACCAAAACGACUCUCGGCAACGGAUAUCUCGGCUCUCGCAUCGAUGAAGAACGUAGCGAAAUGCGAUACUUGGUGUGAAUUGCAGAAUCCCGUGAACCAUCGAGUCUUUGAACGCAAGUUGCGCCCGAAGCCAUUAGGCCGAGGGCACGCCUGCCUGGGCGUCACGCAUCGCGUCGCCACCCCCCUUUUGCGGGGCGGCGGAUACUGGCCUCCCGUCCCAAGAAGGCGCGGCUGGCCUAAAUUCGAGUCCUCGACGGGGGACGUCACGACAAGUGGUGGUUGAAUGCCUCAACUCGAUUCCUGUCGUGUUCAUUGGCCUCGUCGUUUCUCGGGCUCCUUGACCCUUCUUGCUUGCAUCUCGAUGCGAGCCUCGACCGCGACCCCA